rnacentral:misc_RNA from 1 species
GUAGGUGAACCUGCGGAAGGAUCAUUACUGAGUUAGGGUCAUCUAGGCUCGAUCUCCAACCCUUUGUAUAAAUACCAUGUUGCUUUGGCGGGCCCGUCUUUAACAGGACCGCUGGGGGUCUUCGACCUUUGGCCAGCGCUCGUCAGUAGCCCUUAACAAACUCUUUUAACCAUGUUAAAUCUGAAUUAGUUAAAAUAAACUAAAACUUUCAACAACGGAUCUCUUGGUUCUGGCAUCGAUGAAGAACGCA